rnacentral:rRNA from 1 species
GCAAGUCGAGCGAGAAGCUAUCUAAUGAACCUUCGGGUGAUUUAGAUAGUGGAAAGCGGCGGACGGGUGAGUAACGCGUGGGUAACCUGCCCUAUGCAGGGGGAUAACACAUUGAAAAGUGUGCUAAUACCGCAUAAGACUACAGAGUCACAUGACUCAGUAGUAAAAACUCCGGUAGCAUAGGAUGGACCCGCGUCUGAUUAGCUAGUAGGUAAGGUAACGGCUUACCUAGGCAACGAUCAGUAGGGGGUCUGAGAGGAUGAUC